AUUUCUUCCAAAAUCUGGUGAUGUUAUUCCAGAUUUCUUCCAGAUUUCUCACCCCCCAAAAUCGAGAGAUGAUAUUCACGCGAUCCAAAUCUGUUCCAUAACUGAUCGAAGACGAUUCUGCCUUCUUUCAGCUCCAUAAUUUACAUCCGACUGCAAAUUGCAGACGACAUGGCAACUGAUUCGAUUAUCAGUUUUGAUUUGGAUGGGUUUUCCAGAAGUCCACCAUAUGGUCAAUUGCAGUUUCGGGAAACAGUUCUGCAAGCUGAUUGGUGUCCAUGAAGGAGAAGGUUGUGAAGUUGAUGGCGAAACCAUUGCGUCGGUGUGGAAAGUGCGGAGAAAUGUGUCCCGUGACUAUAAAUUUCGGCAGCCAAAAGGAAUAAGAGAACACUUAGUUCGUUUUGAAGUACUUGAAGAUUGUAGUCGUAUUUGUUUUUACCUUACCAGAUUGCAAGUUAAAGUCAUGAAUAUUACAUUGUUACCACGUAGUGUUUGCAGUUAACAUAUUACAUUAUUGAAUUUGUUCAUGUUGUUGUAACUCGAAAUGAUUGCAAAUUUGUUCUCACUGUAUUAUUUACUAUUGCUUUGUGGUGUGCA